UACGUAGGGUGCAAGCGUUAAUCGGAAUUACUGGGCGUAAAGCGUGCGCAGGCGGUUCGGAAAGAAAGAUGUGAAAUCCCAGAGCUUAACUUUGGAACUGCAUUUUUAACUACCGAGCUAGAGUGUGUCAGAGGGAGGUGGAAUUCCGCGUGUAGCAGUGAAAUGCGUAGAUAUGCGGAGGAACACCGACGGCGAAGGCAGCCUCCUGGGAUAACACUGACGCUCAUGCACGAAAGCGUGGGGAGCAAACAGGAUUAGAUACCCUGGUAGUCCACGCCCUAAACGAUGUCAACUAGCUGUUGGGGCCUUCGGGCCUUGGUAGCGCAGCUAACGCGUGAAGUUGACCGCCUGGGGAGUACGGUCGCAAGAUUAAAACUC
rnacentral:rRNA from 1 species